UACGAAGGGGGCUAGCGUUGCUCGGAAUCACUGGGCGUAAAGGGUGCGUAGGCGGGUCUUUAAGUCAGAGGUGAAAGCCUGGAGCUCAACUCCAGAACUGCCUUUGAUACUGAGGAUCUCGAGUUCGGGAGAGGUGAGUGGAACUGCGAGUGUAGAGGUGAAAUUCGUAGAUAUUCGCAGGAACACCAGUGGCGAAGGCGGCUCACUGGCCCGAUACUGACGCUGAGGCACGAAAGCGUGGGGAGCAAACAGG
rnacentral:rRNA from 1 species